AGGACAAACGCUGGCGGCGUGCAUAACACAUGCAAGUCGAACGAGUGCAGCAAUGCACGAGUGGCGGACGGGUGAGGAACACGUGGAUGAUCGACCCAGCGCUGGGGAAUACCCCUGGGAAACCAGGGCUAAUACCGCAUGCGCUCUGCUGUGUCAAACAGCGGAGGAAAGCCGUAAGGCGGCGCUGGACGAGUCUGCGCCCGAUUAGCUCGUUGGCGGGUAACGGCCCACCAAGGCUGCGAUCGGUAGCUGGUCUGAGAGGAUGAUCAGCCACAUUGGGAUUGAGAACGGCCCAAAUCCCUACGGGGAGCAGCAGUGAGGAAUAUUCGGCAAUGGGCGCAAGCCUGACCGAGCGACGCCGCGUGCGGGACGACGCUUUUCGGAGUGUAAACCGCUUUUCUAUUCGACGAGACAGGACGGUAGAGUAGGAAGAGUCUCGGCUAACUACGUGCCAGCAGCGCGGU
rnacentral:rRNA from 1 species